UACAGAGGUCUCAAGCGUUGUUCGGAUUCAUUGGGCGUGAAGGGUGCGUAGGCGGCGCGGUAAGUCGGGUGUGAAAUCUCGGAGCUUAACUCCGAAACUGCAUUCGAUACUGCCGUGCUUGAGGACUGGAGAGGAGACUGGAAUUUACGGUGUAGCGGUGAAAUGCGUAGAUAUCGUAAGGAAGACCAGUGGCGAAGGCGGGUCUCUGGACAGUUCCUGACGCUGAGGCACGAAGGCCAGGGGAGCAAACGGG
rnacentral:rRNA from 1 species